GACGAACGCUGGCGGCACGCCUAACACAUGCAAGUCGAACGGAGUUAAACAAGCUUGCUUAUUAACUUAGUGGCGACGGGUGAGUAACACGUGAGUAACCUACCUUUGAGCGAGGGAUAGCUUCUGGAAACGGAUGGUAAUACCUCAUAACAUAGAAAAGCCGCAUGGCAUUUCUAUCAAAGAUUUAUCGUUCAGAGAUGGGCUCGCGUCUGAUUAGAUAGUUGGUGAGGUAACGGCUCACCAAGUCGACGAUCAGUAGCCGGACUGAGAGGUUGAACGGCCACAUUGGGACUGAGACACGGCCCAGACUCCUACGGGAGGCAGCAGUGAGGGAUAUUGCACAAUGGGGGAAACCCUGAUGCAGCGAUGCCGCGUGGAGGAAGAAGGUUUUCGGAUUGUAAACUCCUUUUAUCAGGGACGAUAAUGACGGUACCUGAAGAAAAAGCUCCGGCUAACUACGUG
rnacentral:rRNA from 1 species